GAUGAACGCUGGCGGCGUGCCUAAUACAUGCAAGUCGAGCGAACGGACGAGAAGUUUGUUUCUCUGAUGUUAGCGGCGGACGGGCGAGUAACACGUGGAUAACCUACAUAUAAGACUGGGAUAACUUCGGGAAACCGGAGCUAAUACCGGAUAAUAUCUUGCACCGCAUGGUUCAAAAGUGAAAGACGGUCUUGCUGUCACUUAUAGAUGGAUCCACGCUGCAUUAGCUAGUUGGUAAGGUAACGGCUUACCAAGGCAACGAUGCAUAGCCGACCUGAGAGGAUGAUCGGCCACACUGGAACUGAGACGCGGUCCAGACUCCUACGGGAGGCAGCAGUAGGGAAUCUUCCGCAAUGGGCGAAAGCCUGACGGAGCAACGCCGCGUGAGUGAUGAAGGUCUUCGGAUCGUAAAACUCUGUUAUUAGGGAAAAACAUAUGUGUAAGUAACUAUGCACAUCUUGACGGUACCUAAUCAGAAAGCCACGGCUAACUACGUG
rnacentral:rRNA from 1 species